rnacentral:tmRNA from 1 species
GGGGAUGUAACGGAUUCGACAGGGUCGUGGAAGCUAUUAGCGGCAUAUCGUGUUAAUCGUAAAACACGUAAAUACAAGCGAUAAACAAUACAAUAAACGCAGAAUCUAAUUUUGCAAUGGCUGCCUAAAUAGGCAACCCAUUCACUUUGUGGCUUGCCCUUUGGCUGCUUAGUGGGUGUCGACUUAAAGGGUAUGUUCUUAAUCUGUGUAGCAGGGAGCGGGGACGAGAUUUUACUGUUGCUUGUCGGUGGAGACCUGUUGGUUGGUCACUUCGUCGAUGAAAGCCGUUAAUCAACUAUGUAUGUAGAUGCGAUAGAAGAAGCACUUUGGACGCGGGUUCAACUCCCGCCAUCUCCACCA